rnacentral:rRNA from 1 species
GGAGUACGGCCGCAAGGUUUAAACUCAAAUGAAUUGACGGGGGCCCGCACAAGCGGUGGAGCAUGUGGUUUAAUUGGAAGCAACGCGAAGAACCUUACCAGGCCUUGACAUCCAAUGAACUUUCCAGAGAUGGAUUGGUGCCUUCGGGAACAUUGAGACAGGUGCUGCAUGGCUGUCGUCAGCUCGUGUCGUGAGAUGUUGGGUUAAGUCCCGUAACGAGCGCAACCCUUGUCAUUAGUUACCAGCACGUUAUGGUGGGCACUCAAAGGAGACUGCCGGUGACAAACCGGAGGAAGGUGGGGAUGACGUCAAGUCGUCAUGGCCCUUACGGCCUGGGCUACACACGUGCUACAAUGGUCGGUACAGAGGGUUGCCAAGCCGCGAGGUGGAGCUAAUCCCACAAAACCGAUCGUAGUCCGGAUCGCAGUCUGCAACUCGACUGCGUGAAGUCGGAAUCGCUAGUAAUCGCGAAUCAGAAUGUCGCGGUGAAUACGUUCCCGGGCCUUGUACACACCGCCCGUCACACCAUGGGAGUGGGUUGCACCAGAAGUAGCUAGUCUAACCUUCGGGAGGACGGUUACCACGGUGAUUCAUGACUGGGGUGAAGUCGUAACAAGGUA